GAUUUCUGACAGACCGUUGCGGCCCGUGCUCGUUUCGGGCGUGUGUGCCGUGUCGUGUUUGUCAUCCUUCCAGAGAGCUGCGUCUACCAUUUACUUGGCCGGACGUACGCGAUCUGGAUCGAUUACUUUGAAAAAAUUAGAGUGUUUAAAGCAGGCUUACGCUGUGAAUACAUUAGCAUGGAAUAAUAAUCUAGGACUUUGGUUCUAUUUUGUUGGUUUCUAGGAUCGAAGUAAUGAUUGAUAGGGAUAGUUGGGGGUGCUAGUAUUCCGCGGCCAGAGGUGAAAUUCUUGGAUUCGUGGAAGACUAACUACUGCGAAAGCAUU
rnacentral:rRNA from 1 species